UACGUAGGGGGCUAGCGUUGUCCGGAUUUAUUGGGCGUAAAGAGCGUGUAGGCGGCCAGGUAGGUCUGCUGUGAAAACUCGAGGCUCAACCUCGAGACGUCGGCGGAAACCAUCUGGCUAGAGUCCGGAAGAGGAGAGUGGAAUUCCUGGUGUAGCGGUGAAAUGCGCAGAUAUCAGGAAGAACACCCGGUGGCGAAGGCG
rnacentral:rRNA from 1 species